GAUCAUGGCUCAGGAUGAACGCUGGCGGCGUGCCUAACACAUGCAAGUCGAACGAAGCAAUUGAAGGAAGUUUUCGGAUGGAAUUCGAUUGACUGAGUGGCGGACGGGUGAGUAACGCGUGGAUAACCUGCCUCACACUGGGGGAUAACAGUUAGAAAUGACUGCUAAUACCGCAUAAGCGCACAGUACCGCAUGGUACGGUGUGAAAAACUCCGGUGGUGUGAGAUGGAUCCG
rnacentral:rRNA from 1 species